AUUCAUAAAACCGAGGCCGAGAGGAAGAGGGAGGCGGCCUCCGACCCGCCGCCAGCGGCGGGCAGCGCCCGGACUUUGUGAAUGGAGCGCGCGGCGCCUUUCGCCGUCUACCCGCGGGCCCAGCCUGCGCCGCGCCUCCAGCCCGACACCGGCACCUGUGCCGCCGCUGCACCCCGCCGCUAGGCGGGCGGCGCCAAAGGAAAUAGCCGGCUGAGGAGGCCAGGGCUCGGGUUUGAGCUUUCAUCCCUUGGCACCUUCGCGCUUCCCCGCGUGACAGCCCCGUAGGUUUUUCCCGGUUACCCAAGUGGAGAGGGGACCGGAGCGCUGCUGCCCACCCAGCGGGGCCUGACACCUCCUAGCCCCAGACUCCCCGUGCGCUUUCGGCCCGGCCAGUCCUUUCUGAAUAUGCGAUUCCUGAGACGUUAGCGUAUGCAUUAGCGUGAUCGAUUUUCAUCUAAAGCCAUUAAAUCAGUUUUAUAGCUUCCCCAAGAACGUGGGCAACCCCCUGCUUGGAAGAUGAAAGAGAAAGUCCUCCCGCCCGAAGCCCAGGAUCGGAGUGAGGACAACAAAAUGUCUAAAUCACCUUUCCAAGGCUUCAACAAUGAAUGUAUUUUCCAAAUCAAUGUUGGAGUACAUGGUCAGAAAAGAUGUCUUUUGGACUUGUGAAAUUACUUAUAUAAAAAUUCUUACCAAGAUGGAAGCAUAAAAAACACAUUUAUUUAUAUGUUUACUAAAUCUUCUUUUAUUGAAAACAAUAAGACAACCUGAAAGCAAGUCUAUCAGAGAAAAUCUGGGACUUAUGUCUUCACUGACAAAAUAAUAAAUGAGACAAAGUGAUAGAAGACCUUUGUCAUGACACCUGUUUGCUACCAGAGCCCCAGGCCAUCGUCAUCCACUGAUGUCUCCACAUUAAUUCUGCAGAGGUCCUGGACAGUCUUCUCUGCCCUGUCUAAUGGUCAGUUAAUUCUCCUUGUAAGCACAUCAUGGCUGACCAGGUGCUGGACCGCGCAAAGAAAGGUGUCAGAGCUUUCAGCUUAAGCCUUGAUUGGGUGGUGAGUAGGUCUCCUGCAGCUAAUCAGUGGCUUUAGAAACCCUGGAGUCCUUCAGAAACCCUAAAGUUCUUCCUUCUGAUUUUUCUGGUAGACCAAAGGAAAAGGCCAACAACAAACAAUUUCUAAAUAAGAAAUUUCCACCUUAGCUAAAAGCAAAAGGCCUUUGAUACUCUAUAAGAUUGAUCAACUCACUUCAGUUGAAAUAAUGGUUUUCUGAAGUCAAGGCAUGAACAGCCUUUCCCCACUGGAUGGGAUGCUCAGAUUACCAGCCCUGGAAUGAAACAAAAGGAGAAGACUGUCUCACCCCACACUUCUCAACCAUUGGCCAUUCUGAGAUGACACCUGCAGAGCCACAGCCCCACCUGCCCGAGCACCCACGGGUGCCUUGGUCAUCCUGCACCAUGGAGCUGCUUGUCUCUCCUCUGUACUCACAAUGCUGUGUGUCCUCUCUGUUGCACCUAAAACUCUUCAUCAAGUAACCAGGCGAAGAGGUCUGUCUUCUCUUCCAGAAGCCCAAGAUCCCUUUUCCAAGGACUGUCUGGAUGCCCCUGCCUUGAAUCUGAGUUUUAUCUUCUGCAGACCUGGGCUUAAUUUGCUGCUCUGAAAAAGGACACAGGCUCUGUAGCCAGACAGAUGUGGGUUUUGAUGCCAGAGCCACCGUUUAAGUAGCUGGGGAACUUUGGGUACGUUUCUGGCCAUUGCUUUUCACAUCUUGUCACUGGGAAUGUUAUUAUUAUUUUAUCUAUUUUUUUUUUUGAGACGGAAUCUUGCUUUGUUGCCCAGGCUAGAGUGCAGUGGCUCUAUCUCAAUUCACUGCAAGCUCCGCCUCCCGGGUUCACUCCAUUCUCCUGCCUCAGCAUUCCAAGUAGCUGGGACUACAGGUGCGCACCACCACGCCCGGCUAACUUUUUGUAUUUUUAGUAGAGGCGGGUUUUCACAGUGUUAGCCAGGAUGAUCUCGAUCUCCUGACCUCCUGAUCCGCCCGCCUCGGCCUCCCAAAGUGCUGGGAUUACAGACGAGAGCCACCACGCCCAGCCAGGAAUGUUAUUAACACCUAGAUUCAUCAUUGGGAACAUUUUCAAAAAAUGUAUUAUUAUUCCUUAUUCCUUUCUCUUAGACAAUUUUUUCUUUUUAAGCUGAGAGGUGUCAAUAGGGCAACAUUUCUGAUUUAUACAUUGUUUUCUCCAUGGAGUUGCAUUUGGCAAAACUCCAGGUGCAUGGAAACACACAGGUGGGUCUUUGUGCCAUCAGGCUGGGCUGCUCAGUGGGCCCAGCUGUUAGUCCACGUGUUUGCCUGUGGGUCAACAGAACAGGAAAGGCUCCUGGAUUCUCUCUGUUGCUUUCCAUCCACCUGGACUGCUCCACCUCCUAUCCUCUCUGUCUCCUUGAUUCAACUCGAUGCUACCCUCAUUUAUCCAAGCAGAGAAAGGUGCUCCUUUCCUCUUUUAGUUUUCUCUCACCCUUCCUUCUUUUCACAUCUAUUUCUUACUGUUUCCUGCACAGUGCUUGUCUUUUCUCUGACAUUGUAUGAGCAAUUUCUUUGAUACAAUGGUAGUCUCCAAUUAUGCUACUGGGCAAGCCAGCCUAGAGGUUGUGGAACAGAAAGGCUCUCAGACCAACUUAAGUCACUCAUAUCGCAAGUUUUAUUGAAUCAGCUGAAAAUAUCCAGUACUUUCAAGGGGAAAGAUGUGAGAAAGGUUCACCCACUUAGCUUAAGGUGCAAGCAGGUGGCAGGACCACACGACCCGAUCCUCAGUGACUCAGUGUUCAUGUGACCGGUGUUCUCUUCUACAUUGACCUUCCAAGCUCAUGGGGUAGUUACUUUGGAACAAGGAGGCUCUGCAGAGAAAACUGCCUGAAGCCAAAAUGAUCUUGCUCUACCAGAGAGAUAAAGGGGCAAGUAUGCCUGGCCAAUAAAGAGCUUGCUAAACAGCCAUUGCUUUUCUCUGUGUUUCUAGACAAAGCUCAUGUGGGGAGAGAUGGGAUUAAUGUAGUUUCACCAAUGAUGGCUGAUUCAGCAAUAAUGUGCCUGUCAUAUAGAGGUGGCAUAAUACACACGUUGUAACUUGGCCUGUUCAUCUUUUUUCUGACUUUAAGUGUCAGAGGCAUGUGAACCAGAGCAACUCCAUCUUAACUCGGAGCUGGGUAAAAUGAGGCUGAGACCUACGGGGCUGCAUUCCCAGUUGGUUAAGGUAUCCUAAGUCCCAGGAUGAGACAGAAGGUCAGCAUAAAAUACAGGUCAUAAAGAUCUUGCUGAUGAAACAGGUUGCAAUACAGAAGCUGGCUAAAACCCACCAAAACCAAGAUGGCCAAGAGAGUGACCUCUGGUCUUCCUCACUGCUACAUUCCCACCAGCACCAUGACAGUUUACAAAUGCCAUGGCAACAUCAGGAAGUUAACCUUUAUGAUCUAAAAAGGGGAGGCAUGAAUAAUCCACCCCUUUUUUAGCAUAUGAUCAAGAAAUAACCAUAAAAAUGGGCAGCCAGCAGCCCUCGGGGCUGCUCUACCUAUGGAUCAGCCACGCUUGUAUUCCUUUACUUUCUUAAUAAAUUUGCUUUCACUUUGCUCUAUGGACUUGCCCUGAAUUCUUUCUUGUGCAAGAUCCAAGAACUCUCUCUUGGGGUCUGGAUUGGGACCCCUUUCCUGUAACGUAAGCAACAUUUUUAUUUGUUCUAUUCUUUUUUAAGAAUUGUGAUAUAACACACAGAACAUAAACUUUACUGUGUUGAUGAUGUUUGAGUAUAAUUCAGCGGCAUUAAGCGCAUUCACACUGUUGUGCAACCAUUACCACUGUCCAUUUUCAGAACUUUUGCAUCACCCCAGACUAAAAACUGUGUGCAUUAAACACUAACUCCCCACUCCCCUCCCCUUAGCCCCUAGUAAUCUCGAUUCUACUUUCUGUCUCUAUGAAUUUGCCUAUUCUGGAUACCUCAUAUAAGCAAAAUCAUACAGGAUUUGUCCUUUUGUGUCUGGCUUAUUUCAAUACUUGGCAUAAUGUUUUCAAGUUCACCCAUGUUGUAGCAUGUAUCAAAAUUUUAUUCCAUUUUAGGGUUGAGUAAUAUUCCAUCAUUUGUGUAUACCAUAUAUUUUUUAAUUCACUCAUUUGUUGAUGAACAUUUGAGUGGUUUCUUUCUUUUGGCUAUUGUGAGUGAUGCUGCUACAAACAUGGAUGUUCAGGUAUCUGUUUGAGUCUCUGCUUUCAUUUCUUUGAGAGUAUAUACCUAGAAGUGGAAUUGCUGGGUCCUAUGGUAAUUCUGCUUAAAUUUUUGAGAGACCACCGGUUUCAUCCUUUUUUAAAAUCAGUGUUCAAUAUUCACAUAUUCUGUUUAUUUCUAUGGCUAACAUUAGUUUUUCUUAUUUUUUUAUAGCAAAAUUAAGUAUUCCUAAAUAUUGCAGCCAAUUCACCUUACAACCCCUUCCCAUAUUAUCUACCCAGCAGGCACUGUAAGGUCUGUUCUUGGAUACUGACAAACAUUCUGCAAUCCUCAGUCCACAGCUGUACACCAAAUAUUUGGAACAGAGAUCAGUUAACUGAUUAAUUACUAUGACUUUGUGCUCGGGGAACAUGCCAAGCACCAAUCCCCCACCUUCCCCACCCUGCCUGUGUCUCUGUUCCCUUUGUGUUCCCUACAUUCUUUCAAAUACCUGCAAAUCCACCUUCUCUACCACGCAUCAAUGUUGCUGGCUUCCAUUUCUUAUUGAUUUUGUAUGACUUUGAGGUUUCCUGCCUGGGUACCCAGGACCAUGACUCUCUCUCUGGAGAUACCCAUCCUGACUGAUACACCCUAGCCACCUCCCUUUACGCUCCCUCUACUCCAUCCUCAGUCCAAGAGCUUCAGGCACUCCAGUCCUGCCCCAGAGACGCAGGUUUCAUCCUCUCGCAUGCUUUGCAGGAACUUCUUUAUUUUAUUGU
rnacentral:lncRNA from 1 species